CAGAAAAUCCAGGAUAAGCCCUGCAAGAGGUGAGACCAAAGUAUAAUGACUGCAAGAAAUUCAGUUUGAAACAGCCAUCCAAACGACACCAGUCAAACCAAGAAAUCUGUAUCCAGAAGCAACUUUGUCCACCAACCUGGUCUAUCCUUCUUCCUACUGUCCUAAAGAAAUCAGAGGGAACUGAAAACCAAGAAGGGUGGUCUCCAAGGUGGAUUCUGCCCAUCUUUUCCCCCUUGAACCACUGGAAUUGAAACCCAUGGGAUUUUUGCAAAAGAAGGCAGGCUGCUGAGGCACCGGGUACCUGCUGGUGCGCCAGUUUGGGAAUGAAGUACCAGGCAGACCAUUGUGAGGAGGCUUGUGCUGAAGGAGGCAGCUCUCUAUGGACUUCUGGAGUGGUAAGAAUGACAAUCUGUGAUCACUAAACUCAUGUAAAAAAAAAAAAAAUAUAUAUAUAUAUAUAUUUAUAUUUAUGUUUUUUCUUAAUGGAUAAGGAGAAAUAUCUACUCUGUAUCACCCAGCCACUGAAAGUCACAACGUGCAGCUAGCACACUUAGCAAAUAGAGCCCACUGAAUGGUUACCUUGAGUAAUCUAAAGAAGAUUAAUAAUAAUAGAUGCAUCUUUUAAAAAUAUGUUCCAAAUUCUGAUACUGUCUUUUGGACUUAACUAAUUCCUAUUUGCUUUGCCUUUUUCUUUAUUGUGCAUUAUUUUCAAUGAGUGCUUUUACUCCCAUUUCCCCCAUUUUACAGUAAUCAUUGUCAGGGUGAUGUACACAUUGCAACGUCUUGUUUUGCUUCUGCAAGUUCUGGCAGACAGCAGAGGGAAUGUGUGCAGCUCAGGGAAUUAUACACCCUUUACACAGACAUCAGAGAUGAGCUUGAUGCCACUAAGCUCUCUUUGUGCCUGCCAUGAUGUAGAAGAUAGUUCAGUGGAGCUGAUACUUGUGUCAUCCUGUGGUCCUAACCACCCAAAUUCCUUCCCUUGCUGAGUCCUGCUGCACACUUUUUUGAUCAACCUUUCUUCCAUUACAAAUGAGGCAUCCGUAAGGACAGUAACUGGGGCAGGACUUUUCCAGAAAAGAGGAAUGUGCCUCUCAUGUGCUGGGGUGAGCAUAGGUAAAAUUCAGCACAGCCAGGACUUUUGUUGCAUGACCUUAUUUGUCUUGGUAAGUGUUUGAAGAAUCAGGACCGAUAUCUCUCAGCACUGGUGCUGGAUUUCCACUUAUUUUGCACCGGGGUCUUCCUAUGAAUCCCCUGUGGGAGCAGUUCAGUAGUGCUUAAAGGGAUGGCAUUUCUGUAAUUAUCUAAUUAUUGUUGCAUAGUUCUUUCUUGUGCUUGUUAACCCUUCAUCCCACUGAAAGUGGAAUCCCACACCAUUGAACUUGAAUAAAAAGUGACUGAGACCAACA
rnacentral:lncRNA from 1 species